rnacentral:rRNA from 1 species
UACAUGCAAGUCGAACGCGCAGCGAAAGGUGCUUGCACCUUUCAAGCGAGUGGCGAACGGGUGAGUAACACGUGGAUAACCUGCCUCAAGGCUGGGGAUAACAUUUGGAAACAGAUGCUAAUACCGAAUAAAACUUAGUAUCGCAUGAUACAAAGUUGAAAGGCGCUACGGCGUCACCUAGAGAUGGAUCCGCGGUGCAUUAGUUAGUUGGUGGGGUAAAGGCCUACCAAGACAAUGAUGCAUAGCCGAGUUGAGAGACUGAUCGGCCACAUUGGGACUGAGACACGGCCCAAACUCCUACGGGAGGCAGCAGUAGGGAAUCUUCGGCAAUGGACGAAAGUCUGACCGAGCAACGCCGCGUGAGUGAAGAAGGUUUUCGGAUCGUAAAACUCUGUUGGUAGAGAAGAACGUUGGUGAGAGUGGAAAGCUCAUCAAGUGACGGUAACUACCCAGAAAGGGACGGCUAACUAC